CUUUUAGCAAGUUAUUUUAUUAGCAUUUGUUAAAAGACACCAACUAAUUUUUAUGAAUGUGUCUUUUAACAAAGUUAUAACUAAAAAGUGAAAAUCACACCUCGAGGUGUGGGUUGCUAAAAGACAUCUUCAUGGAUGGCUUCUAGCAAAACCCUAUAUAUAUAUAAGUCGAGACUCGUCCUCGUGAGCUUAACUUAGUUGACAUGGACAAUGUAUAAUAUAAGUUGAGACUUAAUUACUAAAGUUGUAUGUCGUUAUAAAAUGAUAAGUAAAUCAAGUUAUAGAAAUGUCAUUUAGUGGGUCA
rnacentral:lncRNA from 1 species